AGCUUUGUGCAGUGGCAGUAUCAUAUCCAGUAAGGUUUAUGUGAGGCAUGGUUAUGCUAAUUGAAAACUAUAGUAAGGUAAUGAUCAUGCAGGUGAUCUAUGGAUGAUAUAAUGAGAAACAUGAUCAUAACAAUUUUAAACAAUCACUAG
rnacentral:snRNA from 1 species